AUGGCAUCCCCGCUGCUGGUGCUACUCAAGCCAGGAACUGUCGAUGAUGCUCCGGCUUCUCCAGCUGCUCAAGCCGUGGUUCGUCAGCCUCCACCCGCUCCUGCAGUUUCAGAUGGUGCUGAGCACCUCCUCCAAGGCCCUGAACACCUAGGAGGAGGACGUCCAGAUGGUUCAUGGAGCACACUUGAGCCCACUCUGGCUGACAACAUGGUUGGCGGAAACCAGAUGCUUACCAGUUCCUCCAAAAGCUUCCCUGGGCACGUAAUUCGUGAACCUCCCCGCAGAUUAAUGGCGCCCAUGCGACGCUCCCUCGUGUCGCAGCAGGGGAAGCGACCGUGGAACUAUCUUGGGAGCUCAAGAAUGUUUCCUAACCACCCGAGUCAUGAACCCGGACAUCCUUGGAGAAGAAAGGCGCAGCCUGUAAGAUCCUGA
rnacentral:rRNA from 1 species